AACGCACCUUGCGCUCCUUGGUAUUCCGAGGAGCAUGCCUGUUUGAGUGUCAUUAAUAUAUAUCAACCUCUCUCUUGUUGGAGUGGUUUGGAUGUGGGGGUUUGCUGGCCUCUUAAAGAGUUCAGCUCCCUUGAAAUGCAUUAGCAGAACAGACCUGUUCAUUGGUGUGAUAACUAUCUACGCUAUUGAAUGUGAGGGGAAGUUCAGCUUUCUAACUGUCCUUGGACAAAUUAUCAUUUAUGUGACCUCAAAUCAGGUAGGACUACCCGCUGAACUUAA
rnacentral:misc_RNA from 1 species